rnacentral:rRNA from 1 species
UACGAGGGGGGCGAGCGUUGUUCGGAAUUAUUGGGCGUAAAGGGCGCGUAGGCGGUGUGGCAAGUCAGGUGUGAAACCUCCAGGCUUAACUUGGAGCUUGCAUCUGAAACUGCCGUGCUAGAGUGCGGGAGAGGAGAGUGGAAUUCCUGGUGUAGCGGUGAAAUGCGUAGAUAUCAGGAGGAACACCGGUGGCGAAGGCGGCAUCCUGGACCAACACUGACCGGUGAGGAAGCGGAAAGCCAGGGGAGCAAACGGG